UAUGUAACAGGCUACGCUAUGCUGUAGAGAGGCUAUGUAACAGGCUACGCUAUGCUGUAGAGAGGCUAUGUAACAGGCUACGCUAUGCUGUAGAGAGGCUAUGUAACAGGCUACGCUACGCUGCAGAGAGGCUAUGUAACAGGCUACGCUACGCUGCAGAGAGGCUAUGUAACAGGCUACGCUACACUGCAGAGAGGCUAUGUAACAGGCUACGCUGCAGAGAGGCUAUGUAACAGGCUACGCUGUGCUGUAGAGAGG
rnacentral:lncRNA from 1 species